rnacentral:misc_RNA from 1 species
CUGAGUUUACAACUCCCAACCCAUGUGAACAUACCUUUUGUUGCUUCGGCGGGAUGCCCCCGGCGCCUAGUGUGCCCGGGAACCAGGCCCCCGCCGGAGGACCCAAACUCUUGUUUUUAUAUAGAACUUCUGAGUGGAUUAUUUUAAUAAUUA